UCAUUAAUUUGGUGAUUAUGAUAACAUAAGGGAAAAAAAAUGAUAUUACCUUAUUAUUAGUGUUGUCCAAAACUGGUGCCAGAAGACUCGGUAAGACCAGAGACGCAAACGUUAGUCAUCUUAAUCAGGCGUAAAGGGUGUGUAGGCUGCUUUAAAAGUUUAAAUCUUUUUAAUAGCUCUUUUGCCGUUGUCCUGCCAUUAUUUAUUUUAUUUAUAAAAUAAUAAACAAUAAUGAAUAUAAAGGCAGUACAUUUUUAAUUUUAUUAAUAUUAAUUUAAUUUAAUAAUUAUAAAGGGGACAAAAAAGAUAUCCCGGUUUAAGUAAAAAGAAUAAAAUGAAUUAAAGCUAGAAUCAAAUUGAGGAUAAACCAAAUAAUACUUAGAGUAGGGCCGAUAUCCGCAGAUACUAAGGGGAAUACUAAAGGUGAAAGCUUUUUAUCUACUAUUGAUUGACGCUGAGAAACGAAGGUGAGAACAGGAAAUAGGAUUUGAUACCCAGAUACCUCUCACUGUCAACGAUGAAUGGUGGUUGUUAGUUUUAAUAAAAACUGGUAACGAUGUUAACACGAUAACCAUUCCGCCUUGCGAGUACGGUUGCAAAACUGAAACCAAAAAAA
rnacentral:rRNA from 1 species